GGGGGGGGGGGGCGGGGGGGGGAACACGUGCGAGGCGGGCGGGGGGGCGGGGAGCGCUGGCGCUGACGGGGGGCGGGUGGCGGGCGGGUGGGGCAUCCGUCGGCAUCUACUUUUUCGUGGGGGGUCACGUAGGGAAACUUACGCUAAUACCGCAUACGACCUCCGGGUGAACGCAGGGGAUCCUCGGACCGUGCGCGAUUGCAUGAGCCGAGGUCGGAGUAGCUAGGUGGCGGGGUAAAGGCCCACCAAGGCGACGACCCGUAGCUUGUCUGUGAGGCUGAUCAGCCACACUGGAGGUGAGACACCGUCAAGGCUCCUGCGGGAGGCAGCAGUAGGGAAUGUUGGACAAUGGGCGCAAACCUGAUCCAGCCAUACAGCGUGGGUGACGAAGGCCUUCGGGUUGUAAAGCCCUUUUGUUGGGAAAGAAAAGCAGCCGGUUAAUACCCCGCUGUUCUGACGGUACCCAAAGAAUAAGCACCGGCUAACUUCGUG
rnacentral:rRNA from 1 species